rnacentral:lncRNA from 1 species
UGCGUGCGGUUCCAUUGAUUUGCGGACGUUGAUUAACAUGUGGUACAUGUGUAGAGAGUAUUGUUCAUUUCAUUCGAUCUGUCAGACUUGUAAUUACAAUGGAUCAAUUCCGUGCAAAAAUGCAUGUAAUCCUUAUGACAUAGUUUUUUUUCGUGUAAUCUUUUUGUUCAACUUGAGGUUGUAUUCAUUCUUUGAACAAAUAUAAUAAAUGACAUUGGCUUUA